rnacentral:rRNA from 1 species
GACGAACGCUGGCGGCGUGCUUAACACAUGCAAGUCGAACGGUGAAGCGCCUUCCUUUUUGGUGGGUGUGGAUGAGUGGCGAACGGGUGAGUAACACGUGAGUAACCUGCCCCCUUCUUCUGGAUAACCGCAUGAAAGUGUGGCUAAUACGGGAUAUUCUGGGUCUGUCGCAUGAUGGGUCUGGGAAAGAUAUUGUUUCGGUGGGGGAUGGGCUCGCGGCCUAUCAGCUUGUUGGUGGGGUGAUGGCCUACCAAGGCGGUGAGGGGUAGCCGGCCUGAGAGGGUGGACGGUCACACUGGGACUGAGACACGGCCAAGACUCCUACGGGAGGCAGCAGUGGAGAAUAUUGCACAAUGGGCGCAAGCCUGAUGCAGCGACGCCGCGUGAGAGAUGGAGGCCUUCGGGUUGUGAACCUCUUUCGCCAGUGAAGCAGGCCUGCCUCGUUUGUGGGUGGGUUGACGGUAGCUGGAUAAGAAGCGCCGGCUAACUACGUG